rnacentral:misc_RNA from 1 species
GCAAGAACAACUUCAUCCAUUUUAGCAGAAUGAGGAAUUGAAAACUUGGGUUCUAUUCCCAAGGCAGUCAACGGCCAAACAAGCCACCAUAGAGCUACAAGCGUGAACAGUCCUAUGUAUCCAAACAACUUUUGCACAUCAACCCUUUCUCCUUCUUCACCAGCAAACUUUUUAAGGAGCACUGUAAAUAGUCCAUAUGAAACAGCUGAAAGAAGGCCAAAAAGAUCCCCGACAAGAGAGCGCUUCCCAUUGAUAGAAGCACUUAGUUGAGACUCAUCUGCAGCCCAAGUUUUUCCCAAAGUAGUCAUGGCAACACCGGGCACCCCCAGCCAUGCUUACAAGGACAGCUACUACUUUCGCUGCAUUUAAAGUAUCUUGGCCCAGAAAUACACCAAUGAAAAGGGUAAAAAGUCC